GCCGAGGCGCGUGGUGUAAAGCACGAUGAGGGGCGCGGCGAUCGUCGGCAGGAUGUGCCGGAGAAUAAUGUGCCAGUUACCGGCGCCGAAGGAAUGGCCCGCCUGCACGUACAGUUGCUCGCGCGCCGACAGGACCGCGCCGCGUACGAUGCGCGAACCGGCAACGCCGUAGAGGAUGCCGAGGAGGGCGAUGAUCUGCACGAUCCCGGGGCCGAGAA
rnacentral:misc_RNA from 1 species